rnacentral:sRNA from 1 species
ACGGAUGUCUUCAGCCCGCGCUGGCGCAG